AUGAGGAUAGCAGAGGGAAGAAGGCCCAAGCCGUCCAGGCACGAUCUCGCUUUGACUGAUGCGUGCCUAGGAGCCAUCAUCAUGGAGGAACAACAAACUUCGCUUGCUACCAUUAAGAUAUUUCAGCUCAGUGUGGACUGUACACCACAAGAGUUCUCAGCUUUCCUAGACCUGAGGAGAGGUUACUGUCGUCAUGUCGCAGCAUAUCAAUUUUUCAACCGGGUUGUGGUGACUCCGCCUAUGACCACGUCCACAUUCAACAUGGUGGAGUUGAUGGAUUCCACAAAGAAUCCUCCAGAGUCCAUGGUUCAACUCAUCUUCCCUGACAACAGCUUCUACUUUGAGCUGUUUCGGGCAACACCACCUGGAGAUCGAUAUGGAGAAGGAGGAUUCCUUAGGUUCAACAAAGUUAAAACGAAAUUCCCUAAGUAUUUUGGAAGCAUUCAUCCACUGCUACAUUACUCAGAGAAAUAUGAUUCAGUGGAGGCUAUCUCAAUAUUCAAAGGUGUCAUUAGGGUGAUGGCAGAGAAACUGCAAACAUUCAAUAGCAAAAGCGCGAGGACUUUCGAUAAAAACCUUGUUGUCUUUACUCAGACGCCAUUUUUCCUCUUCGGGGAAUGCCAAAGGUUCCUUGAAGCGGAAGAGUUUACUGUUGAGAACCUUGAUAGCAUGUUCCCAGUAUUCCUUACAGUAAGACAUGAGAACUUCAUACACAUCUGGUCGAGGCUGUCAAAGCUAGGUUUCGCUUUUAUCGUUGCUAUACUAGAGUUUGACAAGAACAUCCAUAACCGCCGAUUUAGCUUUGAAGAAGCUGUAAAACUACUGCGCGAAAUCUUGAAGGAUUACGAGGGAAAACUGGAGCUGAACUUCCGUGCAGACGAUGGUCACUUCAGCCUGAGAAGGAUACUGGGGCACUACCUUAAACUACUGAAGUUUGAACAGGAGUAUGUGAUCAAGAUGAUCAUGAGAAGCCGCCAUGAUGUCUGGUCUUCUUAUCUUGAGCGCAGAUCCAAUGAGGAAGCCAGAAUGCAGCAAGAGAGGGAGACAGCUGCAUGGACCAAACCUGAGGAUGGAGAGAUCUGGAAGCACUGGACGGAAAUUCAGGCAAGAGGGGACAAAGUCAUGGACGUUCUGAUGAACUAA
rnacentral:rRNA from 1 species